AUUAUUAUUAUUAUUAUUAUUAAGUGUAAUCAAACAAUAUAGAAACCAUAUGACAAAAUACUCUUAAUUAUUUGUUAUAUAUAGUCAAAUGACAUUAAAUAAUGGUAAUACCCACAGAGUACAUUGUAAUUCACCCUAUUACAUAUGAUAUUCUCCAAGCCAUACAAAUAAUUAAAUAAACAAUUAAUAAAUAGACAAUUUACAAUAAAUAGGAAUGAACAAACCAACAUAAGUGGUACUUGAACUCUUAAAAAGCUUCAAGGCUUGAGUGUGUUCUAGUUUACUAAUUAUGUUUGUCUAUAGCAUAUGAUGCAGUAUUAGUAGAAUUUUGGCCAAAAAAAAAAUUGUAAAUUCUGGUUUCGCUGUGUAAUGAAAUCUGCAUAAUAAAGGGAAAAAAAAAAAACUAAAUUUUUUGCUUCGAUGUGUGUAAAAAAAAAAAAAGGACUGAAUCAUUUAACCCCAACCUCUCCUCCAAGAUAACAGAGAUCACCAGAGGACGUCAAAGCAGUGUCGUGAAAAGCAGACCUUCCUAACACGCGAACCAUUUGAGGCUCCACCAUGUGCUUCCCUCCCAAUAUCUUCAGUAUUGUCGUUUUCCCAGCGCCAUUGGAUCCAACGAGAAGGCACCGGUCACCGGUCUUGAGAGUGAGAGAGAAAUCAUCUAUCAGAGGUUUCGACCCAGGCGGUGGGUGGCCGUCGAUACCUGGAUACGUGAACUUCAGGUCGUUGAUCUCUAUUGUUGGUUCUUGAUGCUCCACGAAACCCAUCUUCCUCUCUCUUCCUCCACAAUAGACCCCAGGGGAGUAGGUAAAUCUGUGCAGCUUCUCCUCUACUAAUACAUCUGCCUCUUACCUAACUCUUCUAAUGGCCCGACGUGGCAUGUUGAGAGAGUAACACGUGGCUCUAUAAUAUAAGGGCCAAAUGGGGUUCCACAGGACAAACGGUGUAGAUCUGUUGGUAAUUUUUUUUUCCCACUGAGAACGUUUAUUGUUAGGGGUUUUGAGUCCUUUUUCUAGCUGUUCAGAUUCCGAGAAAGUGUCUGGAAAUGGCUGCGAUUUACAGCUUAUACAUUAUCAAUAAAUCAGGUGGUUUGAUCUUCUACAAGGUAUCCACGCCUCUUCAAAUUUCAUGCCUUCAUUUCCGCUGAAAUUGCUUCUGAUAGGUUUUAUUUAUGUUCUUUUUUUGAGGAAAUUGAUAAAUUAGUUAGUAAUUACGUUAAAUGUGGAUUAUUUUUAAAAAAAAUUGACAUAAUUUUAGCUGAGAAUGAGCUUCCGAAGAUUAAAAGCUAUAGAUUUGAUUCAGCAUUUGGGGAAAAGAUAUACUUUAAGCAAUCAUAUAAUGCCGAUUAAUGUAAAUAUAACCCUUACUCUUUGUUUUGAUUGCUGGAAAUUGGGAAUCUCUUUAGGGACAAAAAGACUAAUAGUUUUUGGAGAUAUGCUAGAGAGGCAUGUUAAAUUGUCUCCAGACCUGGCAAUGUUUUUUUCUCUUCUUGAAUCACAAUAAGAGGUGAUGGAAAUCAUUGACUGUAACAGAAAUUUUUGGAAUUCUCAUAUUUGCAAUUUAAUGAAAUGAUAAGCAUUGGUCAAAAUCCUUUUCCUUUUUUCUCAGCAGUCAUAUAGGGAUGUUUGGGUAACCUAUGAUAUAGUACAGAAAUGGAUCUUCUGAUUUUUUACAGUAAUUAGGCAAUUUAGUUUCCAGCAAAAAAAAUGAAGUGAUUAGAGGGGAAAGCAUUAGGCACUUAAGAGAAUUUAUAAACUACUCCUUUAUAUAAUGUGUGUUAAUUGUUAGGUUGAUGAAAGAAGCGAAGGGUGGACAAAAUUGUGGAGCUGUGCAAAUAAAGUGGCCAACAUACUGGUAAAUGAACUUGUCUUCCCCAUAAAGAUAGUAGGGGAAACUGCACUAAGCUCCACUUUGGCACUGGGUGGAUUCACAUUGCUUCCUUACUGCUGUGGUUUUAAUCAUUGUUGCUUCAUGCGUUUUAUUGUUAGGAAUGGAAUAGAUAGAACUUUUUUAAUGGCAAAAUAUUUAAGGGCAGCGCAAAUGUACUCCAUAUACUUUAGGCUUUACAUAAGCUCACCAAAAAUAUUAAAUUUGAUAAGAACUGUUGGAGUUCUUGUUGUCUGUAUUGCUGCCUAUUGGGCUUGUCUGAUGAUAUUUUGUUUAUUCUAUUAUGAGGAAUUAGGAUUAUGGUUCUGCUGGACGGAUGGAUACAAAUGAUAGCUUACGAGUAGCUAGUUUAUGGCAUUCAAUGCAUGCUAUCUCUCAACAGCUAUCACCAACUGUUGGUUGUUCAGGCAUCGAACUCCUUGAAGCAGAUACAUUUGACCUCCAUUGUUUCCAAUCCCUUACUGGGACAAAGUUCUUUGUGGUCUGUGAACCUGGGACGCAGCACAUGGAGGUUCUCUUGACAGUCAUAUAUGAAUUGUACACCGAUUAUGUUUUAAAGAACCCCUUCUAUGAAAUGGAGAUGCCUAUAAGAUGCGAACUCUUUGACAUCAACCUAACACAGGCAAUACAGAAGGAUCGUGUUGCUUUGCUAGGGCGAUAAAUCACUUGAAGAAUUUUGUCCCAAUAAUUGUCUUGUUAUUUUCAUUUGUUUAUUUACCAUGGUUGAAGAAUUGAAUUUUGGAACACAUUUGGUUUAGCUCGUGUAUAUUGUGGCAGUUUGAGGUUGUCUAUUGCUGCCAAUAGCCUCUGCAACUUACCUGUGGGAGAAUGAAAAAUCUUCUCAAAGUUUCUUGGUGGAAUUCAGAUUUUCAUUUAAAAAAAAAA
rnacentral:misc_RNA from 1 species